UACGGAGGGGGCUAGCGUUGUUCGGAAUUACUGGGCGUAAAGCGCGCGUAGGCGGACCUGCAAGUCGGGGGUGAAAGCCCGAGGCUCAACCUCGGAACUGCCUUCGAUACUGCGGGUCUCGAGUCCGGGAGAGGUGAGUGGGAAUUCCUAGUGUAGAGGUGAAAUUCGUAGAUAUUAGGAAGAACACCAGUGGCGAAGGCGGCUCACUGGCCCCGGUACUGACGCUGAGGCGCGAAAGCGUGGGGAGCAAACAGG
rnacentral:rRNA from 1 species